rnacentral:rRNA from 1 species
ACAUCCAGCGAACUUGGCAGAGAUGCCUUGGUGCCUUCGGGAACGCUGAGACAGGUGCUGCAUGGCUGUCGUCAGCUCGUGUUGUGAAAUGUUGGGUUAAGUCCCGCAACGAGCGCAACCCUUAUCCUUUGUUGCCAGCGAUUCGGUCGGGAACUCAAAGGAGACUGCCGGUGAUAAACCGGAGGAAGGUGGGGAUGACGUCAAGUCAUCAUGGCCCUUACGAGUAGGGCUACACACGUGCUACAAUGGCGCAUACAAAGAGAAGCGACCUCGCGAGAGCAAGCGGACCUCAUAAAGUGCGUCGUAGUCCGGAUCGGAGUCUGCAACUCGACUCCGUGAAGUCGGAAUCGCUAGUAAUCGUGGAUCAGAAUGCCACGGUGAAUACGUUCCCGGGCCUUGUACGCACCGCCCGUCACACCAUGGGAGUGGGUUGCAAAAGAAGUAGGUAGCUUAACCUUCGGGAGGGCGCUUACCACUUUGUGAUUCAUGACUGGGGUGAAGUCGUAACAAGGUAGGCGUAGCGAG